rnacentral:rRNA from 1 species
GACGAACGCUGGCGGCGUGCUUAACACAUGCAAGUCGAACGGAAAGGCCCUGCUUUUGUGGGGUGCUCGAGUGGCGAACGGGUGAGUAACACGUGAGUAACCUGCCCUUGACUUUGGGAUAACUUCAGGAAACUGGGGCUAAUACCGGAUAGGAGCUCCUGCUGCAUGGUGGGGGUUGGAAAGUUUCGGCGGUUGGGGAUGGACUCGCGGCUUAUCAGCUUGUUGGUGGGGUAGUGGCUUACCAAGGCUUUGACGGGUAGCCGGCCUGAGAGGGUGACCGGCCACAUUGGGACUGAGAUACGGCCCAGACUCCUACGGGAGGCAGCAGUGGGGAAUAUUGCACAAUGGGCGGAAGCCUGAUGCAGCAACGCCGCGUGCGGGAUGACGGCCUUCGGGUUGUAAACCGCUUUCGCCUGUGACGAAGCGUGAGUGACGGUAAUGGGUAAAGAAGCACCGGCUAACUACGUGCCAGCAGCCGCGGUGAUACGUAGGGUGCGAGCGUUGUCCGGAUUUAUUGGGCGUAAAGGGCUCGUAGGUGGUUGAUCGCGUCGGAAGUGUAAUCUUGGGGCUUAACCCUGAGCGUGCUUUCGAUACGGGUUGACUUGAGGAAGGUAGGGGAGAAUGGAAUUCCUGGUGGAGCGGUGGAAUGCGCAGAUAUCAGGGGGAACACCAGUGGCGAAGGCGGUUCUCUGGGCCUUUCCUGACGCUGAGGAGCGAAAGCGUGGGGAGCGAACAGGCUUAGAUACCCUGGUAGUCCACGCUGUAAACGGUGGGUACUAGGUGUGGGGUCCAUUCCACGGGUUCCGUGCCGUAGCUAACGCUUUAAGUACCCCGCCUGGGGAGUACGGCCGCAAGGCUAAAACUCAAAGGAAUUGACGGGGCCCCGCACAAGCGGCGGAGCAUGCGGAUUAAUUCGAUGCAACGCGUAGAACCUUACCUGGGUUUGACAUGGAUCGGGAGUGCUCAGAGAUGGGUGUGCCUCUUUUGGGGUCGGUUCACAGGUGGUGCAUGGCUGUCGUCAGCUCGUGUCGUGAGAUGUUGGGUUAAGUCCCGCAACGAGCGCAACCCUUGUUCACUGUUGCCAGCACGUUAUGGUGGGGACUCAGUGGAGACCGCCGGGGUCAACUCGGAGGAAGGUGGGGAUGACGUCAAGUUAUCAUGCCCCUUAUGUCCAGGGCUUCACGCAUGCUACAAUGGCUGGUACAGAGAGUGGCGAGCCUGUGAGGGUGAGCGAAUCUCGGAAAGCCGGUCUCAGUUCGGAUUGGGGUCUGCAACUCGACCUCAUGAAGUCGGAGUCGCUAGUAAUCGCAGAUCAGCAACGCUGCGGUGAAUACGUUCCCGGG